GGGGGCAUAGCUCAGUUGGGAGAGCAACAGACUGAAGUUUUGGAGGUCCCCAGUUCAAUCCUGGGUGCCCCCA
rnacentral:tRNA from 1 species